CGAUUGAACGCUGGCGGCAUGCCUUACACAUGCAAGUCGAACGGCAGCACGGGAGCAAUCCUGGUGGCGAGUGGCGAACGGGUGAGUAAUACAUCGGAACGUGCCCAAUCGUGGGGGAUAACGCAGCGAAAGCUGUGCUAAUACCGCAUAAGAUCUACGGAUGAAAGCAGGGGAUCGCAAGACCUUGCGCGAAUGGAGCGGCCGAUGGCAGAUUAGGUAGUUGGUGAGGUAAAGGCUCACCAAGCCUUCGAUCUGUAGCUGGUCUGAGAGGACGACCAGCCACACUGGGACUGAGACACGGCCCAGACUCCUACGGGAGGCAGCAGUGGGGAAUUUGGACAAUGGGCGAAAGCCUGAUCCAGCCAU
rnacentral:rRNA from 1 species